CUGGUCCCCAUGGAAACCCUGGACGCCCGGGUCUACCUGGCCCUAAAGGCCAAAAAGGUGAUCCUGGGCUCUCACCUGGAAAAGCUCGUAAUGGAGAAAAGGGAGACAUGGGUUUACCUGGUUUGAGUGGGCUUCCUGGACCAUCUGGUCGGAAGGUAAGCACACUUUCAUUUCCAGUGAAUGAAAUCAAUAUUGUCAAUAAAUAACCAUAAAUAC
rnacentral:lncRNA from 1 species